CCACUGCAAGAGAGGAUUAUAGCGUGGUGAAAUCCGGCGUCCGGGCUGCUAGCCCCGCCCGUCUCCGACGCGCUUAGUGAACUGGAGCUGUCGCGGGUAGCGCCAUCAGUCUCCGGCGCGCUUCGCCGCCGGGAGCCGUGGGGUGGGUUUGGAAGGCGGUGAGACGGGAGUCGUCGCCACUAGCUAGCGCCGCGCGCCUUCGGCACGCUGAGCUGCUGGGGCCGUGGUCUUAGCUGGAGGAAAGAUGGAAUCCAUCGUGGCUAGCUCUGCUCGCCUCAGGGGCGCUGCGGCACGCCCGACCGUGUCCUUGGCCGGCGGCAAGAUGGGAGCCAUCACGGCUAGUGGUGCCCGUCUCCGGCGCACCCAAGGCCAUGCCAAGGUUCUGUCCAGCCCGCUCCGUGGGAGAUGGUGCCAUGGUGGAACUGCUGCACCGUCAGCCGGUGGCCGAGAUGUCGCGCAGUCGCACUAGAAGGUGCGAGCUUGAUGCAGACUCAACAGGAAAAGGAGCAAGAACAUACCUACAGACGACGAAGUGCCAGGAGCUCCGUCCAUGCUGAAGAACACCGUAGAUGUUGAUCCACGGAGAGGACAAUUUUCUGUCAAUCUUGAUCUAUUCUCCUCCCAUCCGGGGUGGGUAACAAUGGAAAUAGAUUGGUAGGACAAAGGAUGAAGCCACGAAAGAGAUUUUGGUGGCAAUCUGUUGUUACGCGGGAGAGAAAGAUGUGGUUUCGCUGAUUUUCUAGAACCUAACUGCAAUCAGAGAGAUAUGCUGGGUUGUUUAA